rnacentral:rRNA from 1 species
AUACAAGAGAUAUUAUUUAAUAUUUUUGGUUAAUAAAGGUAUAAACUUACUUGAACAUAUUAUAUUAAUUUUUAAGUGAAAUUUGAAUAAUAUUUAAUUUCAUUAAUUAUCUCUUUUAAAAUCAAAGUAGAAACUAGGAUUAGAUACCCUAUUAUUUUGUUUGUAAAGUUAUACCUGGGUAGUAGUAGUUAUUUUCUUUAAACCCAAAGAAUUUGGCGGUAUUUUAUUCCUAUUAGAGGAAUUUGUUCAAUAAUCGAUAACCCCCGUUUUAUCUUACUUGAUUUAGUAUAUUCAGUAUGUAUACCUCCGUUAUAGGUUUAUUUUUUUAGAAUUAUUUACAUUUUAAUUUAUUAUUUAUUAUUUCA